AUGGCGAGGAGUUCCAUGGCCGCGGUGCUCGCCGUCCUGGCCGUGGCGGCGCUCCGGUGCGCGCCGGCCGCCGCGGAGCUCCCGCUGGUGGAGCACCCGGCCAAGAACGACGGGUCGCUCAGCCUGCUCGUCAUCGGGGACUGGGGCCGCAACGGCACCUACAACCAAUCCAGGGUCGCGGACCAGAUGGGGAAGGUCGGGGAGAGGCUGGACAUCGACUUCGUGGUCUCCACCGGCGACAACUUCUACGAGGACGGCCUCACGGGCGUUCAUGACCAGCAGUUCGAGGAAUCCUUCACCAAUAUCUACACCGCCCAGAGCUUGCAGAAGCCGUGGUAUCUCGUUCUUGGAAACCAUGACUACCGGGGCAAUGCGCUUGCACAGCUUGACCCAGUCAUGCGCAAGCUCGAUGAGCGAUUCGUUUGCAUGAGAUCAUUCAUUGUCAAUGCAGAGAUCGUGGAGUUCUUCUUCAUCGACACUACUCCAUUCCAGCUCAAGUACUGGACUCACCCUAAAGACAGUCACUAUGACUGGAGAGGAGUGGCGCCUCGAGAAAACUACAUAGCUAAUCUGCUGAAGGAUUUGGAUGAGGCAAUGAAGAAAUCAACUGCAAAGUGGAAGAUCGCUAUUGGGCAUCAUACCAUCAGGAGCGUCAGUGAUCAUGGGGACACCAAGGAGCUCCUGCAAUUGCUUCUUCCAGUCCUCAAGGUUAACGGCAUCGACUUCUACAUCAAUGGGCACGACCACUGCCUGGAACACAUUAGCAGCAGAGACAGUCCGAUCCAAUACUUCACUAGCGGAGGCGGUUCAAAAGCAUGGAGGGGAGUCUACCAGCCAAAUGAUGAUAAGCUCCAGUUCUUUUAUGAUGGGCAAGGGUUCAUGUCCCUCCAGCUAAACCAGGACCAAGCUGACUUCAUCUUUUAUGAUGUUUCUGGGAAAGUCUUGUACAAGUGGAGCUCGCGCAAAACAAACUACUUCCAGCCCUCCAUCUAUGUCACUGCAGAAUGA
rnacentral:rRNA from 1 species